AGAGUUUGAUCCUGGCUCAGGAUGAACGCUGGCGGCGUGCUUAACACAUGCAAGUCGAACGAAGCACUUUAAUUGAUUUCUUCGGAAUGAAGUUUUUGUGACUGAGUGGCGGACGGGUGAGUAACGCGUGGGUAACCUGCCUCAUACAGGGGGAUAACAGUUGGAAACGACUGCUAAUACCGCAUAAGCGCACAGGAUUGCAUGAUCCAGUGUGAAAAACUCCGGUGGUAUGAGAUGGACCCGCGUCUGAUUAGCCAGUUGGCGGGGUAACGGCCCACCAAAGCGACGAUCAGUAGCCGACCUGAGAGGGUGACCGGCCACAUUGGGACUGAGACACGGCCCAAACUCCUACGGGAGGCAGCAGUGGGGAAUAUUGCACAAUGGGGGAAACCCUGAUGCAGCGACGCCGCGUGAGCGAAGAAGUAUUUCGGUAUGUAAAGCUCUAUCAGCAGGGAAGAAGAAUGACGGUACCUGACUAAGAAGCACCGGCUAAAUACGUGCCAGCAGCCGCGGUAAUACGUAUGGUGCAAGCGUUAUCCGGAUUUACUGGGUGUAAAGGGAGCGCAGGCGGUACGGCAAGUCUGAUGUGAAAUCCCGGGGCUCAACCCCGGUACUGCAUUGGAAACUGUCGGACUAGAGUGUCGGAGGGGUAAGUGGAAUUCCUAGUGUAGCGGUGAAAUGCGUAGAUAUUAGGAGGAACACCAGUGGCGAAGGCGGCUUACUGGACGAUUACUGACGCUGAGGCUCGAAAGCGUGGGGAGCAAACAGGAUUAGAUACCCUGGUAGUCCACGCCGUAAACGAAUGAUACUAGGUGGCGGGGAGCAUUGCUCUUCGGUGCCG
rnacentral:rRNA from 1 species